rnacentral:tRNA from 1 species
AGUUUUAUAUUCAAAGAUGAUUUUAAAUUGCAAAUUUAAAGGUGAUUGUAUAUCUAAAACUU